GAUGAACGCUGGCGGCGUGCCUAAUACAUGCAAGUCGAGCGAACAGAUAAGGAGCUUGCUCCUUUGACGUUAGCGGCGGACGGGUGAGUAACACGUGGGUAACCUACCUAUAAGACUGGGAUAACUUCGGGAAACCGGAGCUAAUACCGGAUAACAUUUGGAACCGCAUGGUUCUAAAGUGAAAGAUGGUUUUGCUAUCACUUAUAGAUGGACCCGCGCCGUAUUAGCUAGUUGGUAAGGUAACGGCUUACCAAGGCGACGAUACGUAGCCGACCUGAGAGGGUGAUCGGCCACACUGGAACUGAGACACGGUCCAGACUCCUACGGGAGGCAGCAGUAGGGAAUCUUCCGCAAUGGGCGAAAGCCUGACGGAGCAACGCCGCGUGAGUGAUGAAGGGUUUCGGCUCGUAAAACUCUGUUAUUAGGGAAGAACAAAUUUGUAAGUAACUGUGCACGUCUUGACGGUACCUAAACAGAAAGCCACGGCUAACUACGUG
rnacentral:rRNA from 1 species